GACAGAGGGGGCAAGCGUUGCUCGGAAUCACUGGGCGUAAAGGGCGCGUAGGCGGUAAGCCAAGUCGGUCGUGAAAUCUCCGGGCUCAACCCGGAGGAGUCGGCCGAAACUGGUUUUCUUGAGGGAGGCAGAGGAGUCUGGAAUUCCCGGUGUAGCGGUGAAAUGUGUAGAGAUCGGGAGGAACACCGGUGGCGAAGGCGGGACUCUGGGCCUACCCUGACGCUGAGGCGCGAAGGCGUGGGGAGCAAACGGG
rnacentral:rRNA from 1 species